UUGCCUACGGGACGCAGCAGUGGGGAAUAUUGGGCAAUGGGCGAAAGCCUGACCCAGCAACGCCGCGUGCAGGCCGCCGGCUUUCGGGUUGUCCCCUUCUUUUGCCCGGGCCGCGCAGACGACGGUACCUGUCGAAUAAGCCACGGCUAACUACGUGCCAGCAGCCGCGGUAAUACGUAGGUGGCAAGCGUUGUCCGGAUUUACUGGGUGUAAAGGGCUUGUAGCCGGGCUGACAAGUCAGAUGUGAAAUCCGGGGGCUCAAC
rnacentral:rRNA from 1 species